CUGUAGUGAAAAGAGAAAAGCUUAGCAUUCCCCUUGAUGAGGAUGAAAGAAGGUCCUUGGGCCCUAGACAGCAUGUGAAUAGUGAACAGACUGCCAUUUAAUUCAUAGCAUUUAAUCAGAUUUUGU